CCCUCCUGCUGCUUGGCUGCUGACUCUCUGGUCCUAUUCAGGUCCUUUGGAACACGCUGAGGUUGCGUUCAUGGACUCUUUCAUCUCUUGCUGCAGAGCACUGCUUCAUGUUCUUGUGAUACUUUGCUGCUUUUAUGUGCCAGAGUGGGAAGGAUACUAGGGGAAUUAUAAGAGAGAUUAUAAGUGAGAUUUCCUAUGUGCUGGCAGAGCAAAGGAGGAGUGUGGACCUGUGCUUACAUAACGAACCCCCAUGUGGCAGGAGGGGGUCCUGUGGCCCACAGCUGCCUGGUGAUGUGCAAAAAGCAAAUUGCUGUCACUGCAGACGUGCUGAGAGUGACUUCUGGAAGCUGGUAACUAAAAUCUGGACCGAGCUGCUGCACUACCAGAUGGUAGUGGAGGCAACACCAAGACCAUUGUGUAACCUCAUCUAUCUUCUGUGGAAGCCUGAAGUCUGCAGGAAAGAACAAAUCCAAACCUCUAGAAGUAUAAUUGACCCUGAGGCCUGGCUUCAUCACACACAACUCAACAGCAGCAUCGGUUCUUCUGCCCAAUUAGAGCCCAGACCAUCAGUGCAGGAACAUUGCAGCCCAGGUUGGCACCAAUGAGUCCCAGUGCUGUGCUGGGUGCAG
rnacentral:lncRNA from 1 species